CCUACGGGCGGCUGCAGUGGGGAAUAUUGGACAAUGGGGGGAACCCUGAUCCAGCCAUGCCGCGUGUGUGAAGAAGGCCCUCGGGUUGUAAAGCACUUUCAGUGAGGAAGAACGCCUGGUGGUUAAUACCCAUCAGGAAAGACAUCACUCACAGAAGAAGCACCGGCUAACUCCGUGCCAGCAGCCGCGGUAAUACGGAGGGUGCGAGCGUUAAUCGGAUUUACUGGGCGUAAAGCGCGCGUAGGUGGCUUGAUAAGCCGGUUGUGAAAGCCCCGGGCUCAACCUGGGAACGGCAUCCGGAACUGUCAAGCUAGAGUGCAGGAGAGGAAGGUAGAAUUCCCGGUGUAGCGGUGAAAUGCGUAGAGAUCGGGAGGAAUACCAGUGGCGAAGGCGGCCUUCUGGACUGACACUGACACUGAGGUGCGAAAGCGUGGGUAGCAAACAGGAUUAGAUACCCGAGUAGUC
rnacentral:rRNA from 1 species